rnacentral:rRNA from 1 species
UACGUAGGGACCAAGCGUUGUUCGGAUUUACUGGGCGUAAAGGGCGCGUAGGCGGCAAUUCAAGUCAGCUGUGAAAUCUCUGGGCUUAACCCAGAACGGCCAGCUGAUACUGCUUUGCUAGAGUGCAGAAGGGGCAAUCGGAAUUCUUGGUGUAGCGGUGAAAUGCGUAGAUAUUGGAAAGACCACCAAUGGCGAAGGCACUCUACUGGGCCAUAACUGACACUGAGAGACGAAAGCUAGGGGAGCAAAUGGG